rnacentral:rRNA from 1 species
GACGAACGCUGGCGGCGUGCUUAACACAUGCAAGUCGAACGGAAAGGCCCUGCUUUUGUGGGGUGCUCGAGUGGCGAACGGGUGAGUAACACGUGAGCAACCUGCCCUUGACUUUGGGAUAACUUCAGGAAACUGGGGCUAAUACCGGAUAGGAGCUCCUGCUGCAUGGUGGGGGUUGGAAAGUUUCGGCGGUUGGGGAUGGACUCGCGGCUUAUCAGCUUGUUGGUGGGGUAGUGGCUUACCAAGGCUUUGACGGGUAGCCGGCCUGAGAGGGUGACCGGCCACAUUGGGCCUGAGAUACGGCCCAGCCUCCUACGGGCGGCAGCAGUGGGGAAUAUUGCACAAUGGGCGGACGCCUGAUGCAGCAACGCCGCGUGCGGAUGACGGCCUUCGGGUUGUAAACCGCUUUCGCCUGUGACGAAGCGUGAGUGACGGUAAUGGGUAAAGAAGCACCGGCUAACUACGUG